ACAUACCUAUAACGUUGCCUCGGCGGGAACAGACGGCCCCGUAACACGGGCCGCCCCCGCCAGAGGACCCCCUAACUCUGUUUCUAUAAUGUUUCUUCUGAGUAAACAAGCAAAUAAAUUAAAACUUUCAACAACGGAUCUCUUGGCUCUGGCAUCGAUGAAGAACGCAGCGAAAUGCGAUAAGUAAUGUGAAUUGCAGAAUUCAGUGAAUCAUCGAAUCUUUGAACGCACAUUGCGCCCGCCAGUAUUCUGGCGGGCAUGCCUGUUCGAGCGUCAUUACAACCCUCAGGCCCCCGGGCCUGGCGUUGGGGAUCGGCGGAAGCCCCCUGCGGGCACAACGCCGUCCCCCAAAUACAGUGGCGGUCCCGCCGCAGCUUCCAUUGCGUAGUAGCUAACACCUCGCAACUGGAGAGCGGCGCGGCCACGCCGUAAAACACCCAACUUCUGAAUGUUGACCUCGAAUCAGGUAGGAAUACCCGCUGAACUUAAGCAUAUCAAUAGG
rnacentral:rRNA from 1 species